rnacentral:lncRNA from 1 species
AACGCGCCACUUUCAUUUUGCGUACUCGUUCGAGAAGUCGCAUUUGGCUUCAUUCAAACGACAACGUGUCUUUGAAGUUCCGGAGGUUCGUAUACGUCGCUGAACAAACUCGCGAAGAUGUCAUAUGAGGCGUCAGUGACGAGUGCGGUCGUGACAGCCGCGCGGAACGUCGAACGCACACAAUGGACACGAACGACGACAUGGUGCAUGGACCAUCGAGUAGCCAACCUUCGUAAGUUCCGUGUCUUCGACAUCCCAUGAGCAGUACCAUUCAUACGUGUCUACACAAGGUGGACUGCAUUCCUGUCGUCAGUGCACAUAUGUGACCAAGGACAAGGGUAACAUGAAAACACACCUUCGCAAACACACGGGCGAGCGUCCCUUCCAGUGCCGCCUGUGUUCAGCUGCAUUCUCUCGGAACUCUGAUCUCACAGGGCACAUUCGAACCCACACAGGAGAGCGUCCCUUUUCCUGUGACUGCUGCAGUGCAUCUUUUUCGGUGAAAAGUAACCUCGUGCAACACAUGCGCACCCACACAGGAGAGCGACCCUUUUCCUGUGACAAUUGCAGUGAAUCUUUUUCACGGAAACACCACCUCAUGCAACACGUGUCCCGUCAUCAUGCAAAAUACAAGCCAUAAAAGGUGCAGCUGGUGCCUUUGCAGCUUCUUAAACUCCAUCCCGACUGUUCAGCAGCUCCAAACAUUGCCAGUGCCUUCUCUCUGAUCUCACACUCUGCCUGCUCAAGUUCAGUGAAAGCUGCAGUCAAGAUUAGAGCCAAGGCCAUAUCCAAAGUUUCUACAGCCUGCCUGGCACAUCCUGCUUGAAAGCUUGUUGCAACGGACAUUCCUGCCACAGCAUACCAACCAGCUGUUGCCACAGUUGCAGCCAUGUUCACUCUCACGGUUGCCUCCUUCAGUGUUGGCAACAUUGUAGCACUUAAAUUUUGUAUUGUCAUAGAGGGUAUAUUGAUGGGUAGUCUAAGGGAGCAUGGAAUAUUUUCUCUUUGAAGUGCAUUAUGAAAUCUCUCACGCAAGCAUUGUAC